UACGUAGGGUGCGAGCGUUGUCCGGAAUUAUUGGGCGUAAAGGGCUCGUAGGCGGUUUGUCGCGUCUGGUGUGAAAACUCAGGGCUUAACCCUGAGCCUGCUUCCGAUACGGGCAGACUAGAGGUAUGCAGGGGAGAACGGAAUUCCUGGUGUAGCGGUGAAAUGCGCAGAUAUCAGGAGGAACACCGGUGGCGAAGGCGGUUCUCUGGGCAUUAACUGACGCUGAGGAGCGAAAGUGUGGGGAGCGAACAGG
rnacentral:rRNA from 1 species